rnacentral:piRNA from 1 species
UAUUGAAGAAGGUGUGUCACUUGGGUGG